rnacentral:tmRNA from 1 species
GGCAAAAUCGAGUGUCAAACUUAGCGAGGUAGAUAGUUUUUUAGAAUCCGGAAAAACCUAUUGAAAAUUAAUCGGAUUCAGGGUAUAGAUAUUUUGUUAGGUUUUGACUCUAUAUUCUAUUUUAAAACCUGACUAAGCCUGUAGAAUUAUUUUAGGAGAACUCCUCAGACGCGGGUCCAAAUCCCGCCAUCUCCACAA